rnacentral:lncRNA from 1 species
UCCAAUCUAACCAUCCAAACACUAUUUACCUUAUUUCUAGGAACAACUCAUUUUUCAUCCAAACGCAAAAUUGGUCUAGUUCCUGCUUACACCUGAAUUUGUACCUAUCCCUGGAACUAGCAGUUCUUAUUUAUAUCCGAACCAAACGCACUAGAGAAUAAUAAUUGUUUCAUAUUAUUUGACAUGCUAUCAAAGUAGGAGGUUCUGCGUUCAAGUCACGCUAGAAUUCUGGCAUUAUUAAUUUUUUUCUAUUUAAUUCAAGUCCACGCUAUGUACCUAGUAAAAAAAUUUGGAUCCAAAUAUGAGAGAGAUCGUUUUAAAUACAAAAAUCUUUAAACACGGUUCUCUAGUAGAUUAAGCUAAAACAGUUACGACAGUCGUCUAAGGUGAUGUUGUCGCGGCAGAUGGUGAGGCUGAAUAACCUGGUCGGGGGACUCAUCCGCACUGGCAGAGCUGGCAGAGGUUUGACUCGUAGGUGCUGUUGGCAAUUCGAUUGAGCGGGAAAUUGGCGCCGCCAGGCUGGAAGAGGGGAAGGCAAAAUAGUGAGAUGAAUAAAUAAAAUGGAGUUAGAAAAAUUAUAUAAUUGGAAUAUACUUUUGUUUUUUCCCAAAGAAUUAUAGAAAAUCUAUCAUAAUAGACUUAUUAUGAUAUGCAUAAUGCGAUAUUAUAUAGUAAAAUAAAGAAAAUAUGUUUAUUUUCUCGUCAUACGUAAUGCAGUCUCUUUAUAAUCUCAAAUGAUGUCUUAGCUUACUGAAUUUGAUGUGUACUUCACUUCUAUAUCAACAAUAACUGUAUUGGAUUAUCAAUCCUAAUCGCAAGUGGAAAAGUAUCCUCGCUAUAAUUGUUAUAUUAGUAAUAUCUUUAUCUAAUUAAGGUUAUACUAAAAGAUUUAGUAGGAAAUAAUAUAAUAAUUUUAUAUUGAAAUAAAUUUCAAAAAAAUUGCUUUUCUACUUUAGGGUUGGUUGGUUAUAUGUUCAUGCCUACUAAAAUCGGCUGCUUGAUUUGAUAUAUUUGAAUUGGAACAUUGUAAUUAUAACUACACGAAAAAGUUUAGCCUGUUUGGAUGCAUGGUAAAAAAAUUCCAUAGAGUUUAAAUACCAUAGUUUUGAUCCAAAUAAAAUGGAGAAUCCUGUAACUCUAAAAAAAUUUCACGAGAUUAUUUUUAGAAGCUGUUUGGAUGCACAUUACACAAUUCUACAAAAUUUCUUACAAUCUUAAAAAAAUUAGCUAUUAGGAUCUUUAAAUUUAAGUGUUAGAACCAUACAAAUUAAACUUAGCUCACAAUCUUGGAAUUCUCGACUUGCACUCGCAUCACCUGUCACUUUGCAAUUGAAGCACUGAACACUCAAAAAGUGUUUUAACUUUCGAUCUAAAAUUAAGCCUGAUGAAAUCUGAAUAAUGCGGGAAACAACUUACAUUUCCACUAUACAACAGAUACUUCUCUUCUACAUUUACAAUACAAAUCGAAGUUAAUUAAUGAAAAUCGAAGAAUUGGUUGACAGGAAAACCAUAUAAGGAUUUCUCGGCUUUUGGUGCACUACUUGUAUAAUAUCUUUCACUCUGUGAUUUAGAAGAAGCAUAAAUCAGCAAUAUGAAUUCAUAACAGCAGUCCUCCAAACUAUGUUAAUUAUAUAACAGAGCUGUGCGCCUACGAUGAGAUUCCAACUUUGUAAAUUAUUCUAGCCUUUCAACAAUAUUGGAAACAAAUCAUCCAAGAACCGAAGCUUCAAAACUCCAGCCGAAAUCAAGAACAAAUUAGUGAUGCAAACUCUCAGAAUUGACUACCGAUUGGAGAAUCUCCUACUAUGUCCCAGUAGACAGCGUCAGCGAGAGAUGAAUAAAGCGAGUGCUCAACAGCGGCGGCAACCGUGGCCGAGAUGAGUGCGGCGGACGAGGUGAGUAUAGCGGCGUCGGCGGCGGCUGAAGUGAGUGCGGCGGCGUCGGCGGUGGGCGAGAUGAGUGCGGCGGAAGAGGUGGCGGCCGAGGGGAGUGCGGAGAGGGUGGAGAUUGGAGAGUGCGGUUGUGGAGAGGGUGUAGAUCGGAGAGAAAGG